rnacentral:rRNA from 1 species
GAUGAACGCUGGCGGCGUGCUUAACACAUGCAAGUCGAACGAUGAAGCCCAGCUUGCUGGGUGGGUUAGUGGCGAACGGGUGAGUAACACGUGAGUAACCUGCCCUUAACUCUGGGAUAAGCCUGGGAAACUGGGUCUAAUACCGGAUAGGAGCGUCCACCGCAUGGUGGGUGUUGGAAAGAUUUAUCGGUUUUGGAUGGACUCGCGGCCUAUCAGCUUGUUGGUGAGGUAAUGGCUCACCAAGGCGACGACGGGUAGCCGGCCUGAGAGGGUGACCGGCCACACUGGGACUGAGACACGGCCCAGACUCCUACGGGAGGCAGCAGUGGGGAAUAUUGCACAAUGGGCGCAAGCCUGAUGCAGCGACGCCGCGUGAGGGAUGACGGCCUUCGGGUUGUAAACCUCUUUCAGUAGGGAAGAAGCGAAAGUGACGGUACCUGCAGAAGAAGCACCGGCUAACUACGUG